rnacentral:rRNA from 1 species
AUGCAGCAGAAAAUUCUUCAAGCCAUCCAUGCUAGUGCUACUGGGGGACACUCGGGAAUGCAAUUCACACAUGAGCGCCUACGCCGACUGUUUGCAUGGGCAGGGAUGCGUCAAGACGUGAACCUGUUUGUCUCAAACUGCAAUAUCUGCAAACAAGCCAAAGCAGAGCGUGUGCGCACCCCAGGGCUGCUGGAACCUCUGCCCAUUCCUCCUCAUGCUUGGCACACUGUCACCCUUGAUUUCGUCGAAGGGCUACCCAUCUCAAGGGGGUUCUCUUGCAUUAUGGUGGUGGUGGACAAGCUGACUCGGUACGCUCAUUUCAUUCCUUUGGCUCAUCCGUUCUCAGCUCUCCAAGUGGCCACUACUUUCAUGACUCACGUCUACAAACUCCACGGUCUGCCACAUGCUAUGGUCUCGGAUCGGGAUCGUGUGUUCACAAGCAGGCUUUGGAAGGAGCUAUUUUGUCAGGCCGGAACGGAACUGCGCAUGUCAUCAGCAUACCACCCGCAGACAGAUGGAACCACGGAGAGAGUGAACCAAUGCUUGGAAACUUAUCUCCGCUGUUUCGUACACUCCUGCCCACACCGGUGGUUUCAGUGGUUGCACCUCGCAGAAUUCUGGUACAAUACAGCACCUCAUUCCGCUUUGCAGGCGUCCCCGUUUGAGGUACUAUACGGUCACCCCCCUCGUCACUUCGGUAUCAUUGAUGCUUCAGUGUCUUCUCCUAUGGAUCUGGCCAGCUGGCAUCAGGAGAGGGAAGUGGUGACUGCACUAUUGCGACAGCAUUUGGAACGAUCCAGGCAAAGGAUGAAGGAUCAGGCAGACAGGAAACGAUCAGAGCGUUCUUUCUCCGUGGGUGAUUGGGUGUUUGUGAAGCUGCAGCCCUACGUGCAGGUUUCCGUCGCUGCUCGUGCAAAUCACAAGUUAUCCUUCAAGUUCUUUGGCCCUUUUCAGGUGACAGCACGCAUUGGAGAGGUGGCGUAUCGCUUGAAAAUGCCGGAAGGAAGCCGAAUUCACCCCGUGUUUCAUGUGUCGUUGCUGCGACAAGCUCUGCCGCCGGACACGGAAGCUGUUUCUGCACUGCCCGAGCCCCUUCCGCCUCAUUCACCACCAGAUUUCCCGGAGAAGGUGCUAGCGAGGCGCAUGAUCACAAGAGGCAAGGCCAAGAUCCCUCAAGUCCUGAUCAAGUGGUCAUCCCAGCCGGACGCGCUGGCCUCAUGGGAAGAUUUCUUCGAGCUCCGCAGUCGAUUUCCAGGGGCUGCGGCUUGGGGUCAAGCCGCGUCUGAAGCAAGGGGGGAUGUCACGGAUACCGCUACGCCCAAGCCCACCAACGACGCCGGCCGGCCCAAGAGGAACAAGAAGCCCAACAGGCUUUUCGACCCAGACACCUGGGAGCUGUGA